GCCGCCGCCGCCGGAACUACCGGGAGCGAGGGUUAUGUUCGGUUAACGCUAACUUUGAAAAAUGUUACUCAAAUCAUGCUACCUCAACUCGAAGCUCUGGCUUAAAUGUCCUCUCCUUCAUGAGGUUUCUCACCAUUAAUGGCCCGUGCCAAACACUUCACCUGAAUUUUUGUCUCAUCAAAUCCUGACAGCAAUUGUACGAGGUCAGCGUUGGUGUUUUCCGGGUGAUGCACCUUGUCAAGUUUCAGGUGUUUAUUAUGAUUCAACAAGUCUAUAGUUAUGGGUUCAGCCAUCCAAUCUAGAAAAAUUCCUAUUGUGAAGACUCCCACAUGUUUGUGUCAGGGCAGGAGAAUUUCUCAGCUCCUCUAUCACGGCUCUGUGAUCUGGUGCUGGGACACUUUUGACUGACAAGGUGAAUGUCUUCUUUCAAUCCUGGAAGUGAUCACUGAAACCAUUUGAAUUUAACCUCCAAAGUCUCUGAAUGGGAAGCCAUAGGCCGAAUGGCCCUCUUCCUGCAAUUGGCCCUGUGCCUGGAUUAUUUCACCAAAGUUUGAUGUUAUACCAAGGACAGCUGAUUCACACCAACAUAGGGCUGUACCAUUGGCAAAAUGGAGACACCAGACAGCACAAUUGGCCCUAGAAGCGAUGAUGAAUUAGUCACAGAUGAAAAUGGAAACCAAUUAUUCUGGCCUGUCACGCUCUUAUGAACCUGCUGCUGGUAUUAUAGAUACCAAGGGUUGAAAGCACAGUGUUUGGAGAUCUGGAUUAGAAUCCCGUCUCUGCCGCUUACUUGCUGUGUGAACAUGGGUGUGAUCAGAGGACCCAAGUAAGACAGACAUCUGGAAGCCUGUCACCUUCCUGCUCCAGGAGCUGACCUGAACAGCAAACCAUUCUUCCACGUCUCUGCGGUUGUUGGCGAGCACCGUUUCAUACUGACAGCGCAUCUCAUCCAGGACCCUGUUGAGGUCGACGGUGGGGGCAGUGUCCAGCUCCACGCUGAGUCGGUCACCCAGCUGUCCGCGAAGCAAGUUGACCUCCUGAAUGGGGGAAUGGAGUCAAGAGUGUGACAGGGCAAAGGAGAUCGUCCUUCAGAGACUCCACGUGGGCCUCCAGAUCGGCUUUGCACAGAGUCAACUCACCCAGGAUCCCACGCAGGCCGCCAAUGUCCGUCUCCAGCAGCUGGCGAAGAGACAGUUCAGACUCGUACCUUUCACGGCAAAAGAGAUACAGCCAAUGCUUACUUGGCUGGAGACAGUGCUGGGGAUGCUGGGGAGUGACAAGAGGACUCAAGGAAGCCACAUCCCAAAUAAUAAAUGUGAGUUUUGUGAGCAUUCUUAGCUUUAAAAAAGCUUAUAGAGAGAAUAUUUGUGGUGUGUGCACACGCACUUGUGUGUGUGAGACAGAGAGAGCGAGAGAGAGAGUGAGAGAGAGGCAGUCAUAAAUUAUUCUCAAGUUCAAAUUCAACUUACUUUGACCUGAAGUCAUCGGCAGCCAGUUUGCAGUUGUCAAGCUGAACAGCAAGUCUAGAAUUCUCUGCCUUUGUGCACAAGAUCUGGGAAGGAAGGUCGUUAUAUGUAAUAGAUGGCCCUUUGAAAGAAACCUAAAUAUCUAUUCAUUGAACAACUAUGCCAUUAUUUAUCUUUUAAAAGUCUUUAUAAGAAAGUAUAAAAUAGCUUUCAGCCUACUUCUCUUAUUAGCCAUGUCACUUCAUGACGAGACAAACAGGACCAAUUUAUAAAAGAAAUAGAUAAAAAAGGUUAGUUUUUCAACGGCCUAAGACAUUUUGCAAUAUUCCUUGACAGUUGAACUCUGAUUUUUCUCCAUAAGUGGUUUGUAUUAUGACUCUAUCUCCACUCCAUGAAAAUAAAAAUUCAUCUGUAAGAAAAUGAUUCCUAGGGUGAAAUUAUGUGAUUAAAACGAUGACAUUUCAAUGUCUAUGUUAAAAUAUAAAUAUAAACAUCCAGUGUUGCAUACAGAAUUAACUUUGGGUAUAACACAGUUUUUCCUUACUCUCUGGACGAUGAAGGUAAAAGUCUGGACAUGAGAGAGUUUAUUAUGGCCGUCAGGGAUUACUGGCAUCCCCAGGGCUAAUGCUGACGUUUCCUGACUUUCGGCCCACCACCCUUUCCUCUGGGUCACAUUACCUCCUGAAAAGUCCCCUUUCCCUGGGGGGACUUCCAUAGAAUAGCCUCUUUUAGUAUAAAGGUGGAGCAAAUCCCAGAUUGGAAGGGUGGAACAUUAGGGCAAUGAGACACCAGACCUUUUGCUGGAGAUCUUCAAUGGUGUCGAAGUAACACUGAUAAUCGGGGCACACCAGGGGGACCUCCCCUUCACACUGUUCUCGGAUCCUGCACUCCAGCUCCGCGUUCAUCUCCUCCAGGCCUCGCACCUUCUCCAGGUAGUUGGCGAGUCUGUCGUUCAGGAACUGCAUCGUCUCCUUCUCGUUGCUGUUGAACAUCCCAUCCUCACACCAAGCACCGCUCCCCACCAAGCACGGAAUGUGACAAUUC